rnacentral:lncRNA from 1 species
GACAGUAUAUAUUCCAAACACAUCUGCAUAAAUAAUUUGAAAACAAACUAUUUUGUAAACAAAUUUAACAAUUCUAAACAAGCAGCGAGAUAAUAUUUAUACAAAUUCAAAAAUACAUGAAUAGCAGAAAAAAAUACAAAUUCAAAGACCUCCGUGCACGGAGGUUGUGCACGGAGCUUAACCUCCAUGCACCGGGGUCCCCCCCCCCAACUUUAAAAUUUCACUGGUAUAAAUAUGAAGGUAAAAAUCUAAAUACUUACCUUUUGCUAUGGAUGGUGCUUGCCGAAAUAUGG